UGCCCAGCAACUCCUAUCCCUACCUCCUCGUGGUACCGGCCGGAAACUAUGAGCAACCUUAGGGAAGA
rfam:Aedes albopictus isolate Foshan contig11201, whole genome shotgun sequence.